CCUACGGGCGGCAGCAGUGGGGAAUAUUGCACAAUGGGGGAAACCCUGAUGCAGCGACGCCGCGUGAGUGAAGAAGUAAUUCGGUAUGUAAAGCUCUAUCAGCAGGGAAGAAAAUGACGGUACCUGAGUAAGAAGCCCCGGCUAACUACGUGCCAGCAGCCGCGGUAAUACGUAGGGGGCAAGCGUUAUCCGGAUUUACUGGGGGUAAAGGGAGCGUAGACGGCAGUGCAAGUCUGGAGUGAAAGGCGGGGGCUCAACCCCCGGACUGCUCUUGAAACUGUACGGCUGGAGUGCAGGAGAGGUAAGUGGAAUUCCUAGUGUAGCGGUGAAAUGCGUAGAUAUUAGGAGGAACACCAGUGGAGAAGGCGGCUUACUGGACUGUAACUGACGUUGAGGCUCGAAAGCGUGGGGAGCAAACAGGAUUAGAUACCCGAGUAGUC
rnacentral:rRNA from 1 species